GACGGAGGAUGCAAGCGUUAUCCGUAAUGAUUGGGCGUAAAGCGUCCGCAGGUGGCAGUUCAAGUCUGCUGUCAAAGACCGGGGCUUAACUUCGGAAAGGCAGUGGAAACUGAACAGCUAGAGUAUGGUAGGGGCAGAGGGAAUUCCUGGUGUAGCGGUGAAAUGCGUAGAUAUCAGGAAGAACAUCGGUGGCGAAGGCGCUCUGCUGGACCAUAACUGACACUCAGGGACGAAAGCUAGGGGAGCGAAUGGG
rnacentral:rRNA from 1 species